rnacentral:sRNA from 1 species
UUGUAGAGGGAAGUCUGAAAACGCCGAGAAGAAGACGAAGAAGAAGAAGAAGAAGAAA